AGCAGUAGGGAAUCUUCCACAAUGGACGCAAGUCUGAUGGAGCAACGCCGCGUGAGUGAAGAAGGGUUUCGGCUCGUAAAGCUCUGUUGGUAGUGAAGAAAGAUAGAGGUAGUAACUGGCCUUUAUUUGACGGUAAUUACUUAGAAAGUCACGGCUAACUACGUGCCAGCAGCCGCGGUAAUACGUAGGUGGCAAGCGUUGUCCGGAUUUAUUGGGCGUAAAGCGAGUGCAGGCGGUUCAAUAAGUCUGAUGUGAAAGCCUUCGGCUCAACCGGAGAAUUGCAUCAGAAACUGUUGA
rnacentral:rRNA from 1 species